AGAAUGAUAUCUUUUAGAUGGACCGGAAGGACUCUAGUUGUACUUAAGAAAGUUAAUCCUUUUACACUUGAGAUUACCUAACUAGAGUUUCGUAAAAAGAACUAGAUCAACAUUACGACCUAAAAUGGAAAUCCACAACCAUAGUUUCGUAUUCUUAUUGAUAACAACUAAGUUUUUAGUUACUAAGCAAUACUACAAUCAAAUAUCUUAAAUUUUACUUUCAACCAUUGUUUUAGAAAUAAAGACUAUUUGUUAUGGUUACACCUACGAGUAAUAUUCUCAAUGGGAUUCGACCCAAACUUUGGUGGAUUCUAUAAUUGAAGAACGAUUGCUUUAUACUUCAUUGAGAGGUGUAAUUUGAGCGUAUCAUGACCUCCGUGAGAUGGGGACCUUCGCUAUAACGAAACGCUUGACUCCCAUUUCCUGAUUUUUACUAACUCUUACCCCAUGGAGACUUAGGCAGGGGUACUAUUGUCCUAACCAUCCAUAACGACAAGACAGAUCAUUACAAUAUAUUACUUGUAAGUGCAAGAUAUUAUUCCCUUCAAAUGCAAUUGGUAUAGGUCAAAUAAUGCAAUUGUUUUAACUUCCUAGCAACUUUGACUUGAAAUACGAUCUACUGGCCAACAAAAAACAAAUCAAAUAUAUUUCUAAAUUAUAUGUAAAUACGCUGCAUGAUAUUGCUUCAGAAUAGGGAAUGGGGAGCAUACUUAUUUUUGUUAGACAAGAGGAUAGGAAAUACGGUUACGAAAAAAAAGUGGAUAGGAAAUAACAGCCUGAAGGGAGAGGAGUUCCCAGAUCUUUUUCUUUUAUUGCAAGGAGUCCCAAUGCUACUCUUUUUGAACAUUAGUCCCAAUGCUACUCUUAGUCAACUAACAGAUGGGGAAUGUUGGGGUAAACUUAUUAGAAAUAACAAUAUAAUUGAAGUGCCUUGGAAAUUGAUUUGAAAAAUCAAAACACCCACAAAACUAGCCUGCUUCAAUUGGUUGGCUAUCAUGGGCCAUAUGUUUGGCAGGAGUCCACUCUAGGUGUUACAUAUGUUUGGCAGAGAAUGAGAAUAUUAAUAAUCUAUUUUUGCAUUGUCCUGUAACAAAAAAUGUUUGUGAUAUUUUCUUUGCUUAUUUGGAAUACAAUGGUGUUGCCUGGUAGUCUUAGAGAAGCCCUCGUUAGCUGGGGUGUAAUAGAGAAUUGGGAAAAUCCAUCAGAAAAAACUUGGCAGUAUCGAUAGUUCCGCUUUGUGUCACAUUGAGUAGCUGGAAGUAGAGGAGCUAGAAGAGUUUUGAAGGAAUCUCAACUCUACUUUGUUUCUUGUUUUUUCAAGCUCCUUGAGCUUUUUAGACAGGAGUUGCAGUUGUACAGGAGCUAGCUAUUUUUGUAAUUCAACUGCAUUCUCUAGAUGCGUUGUUGAAUGAAAUCUACUUUCAUUUGAUUAAAAAAGAGCAAACAACAUAAAUCACACUAGUUUUGGUCCUAAUUACGUGCACUCACAUCAAUUUAGGAAAUUACCUUCCGUAUCACUUUUUCUUCGCCAAAUACAUGUAUCUCGCACACUCAGAUACAUGUAUCUCGUAUACAUGCGAGUUAAAUUUGAUUUAAUUUGUUUUAGAUUCACUAUAUUCAUUGUAAUUCACAUAUAUCUAGGAUACAUUAACUCUCUCGCUCGCCUCUCUCCUUAUGUAUCUGUAUUUCUGAUUGUAUAUGAAUUUCACAAUUUUGAUGUAUAUGUGUAUCCAGUAUCAAUUUCAUGCAUCUAGUAAGUUUCAUCACUAUAUCUGGUAUCAAAUAUUUAGUGUAUCCGUGCAUAGACACAUGUAUCUGUAUCAAAUAUUUAGUCUAUUUGUGUAUAGAUACAUGAAUCAAGUAUAAAAAAAAUGCACUGAUACAUUCAUCAGUGUAUCCGUGCAUAGAGAGCGAGAGCGAGCAAUACAAGAGAGGAAGAGCGAGGGGGAGAGAGAAGAAAAAU
rnacentral:lncRNA from 1 species